rnacentral:miRNA from 1 species
CCUCCAUCUAUUCUCCAUCUGACG